rnacentral:rRNA from 1 species
CCUACGGGGAGCAGCAGUCGAGAAUCAUUCACAAUGGGGGAAACCCUGAUGGUGCGACGCCGCGUGGGGGAAUGAAGGUCUUCGGAUUGUAAACCCCUGUCAUGUGGGAGCAAAUUAAAAAGAUAGUACCACAAGAGGAAGAGACGGCUAACUCUGUGCCAGCAGCCGCGGUAAUACAGAGGUCUCAAGCGUUGUUCGGAAUCACUGGGCGUAAAGCGUGCGUAGGCUGUUUCGUAAGUCGUGGGUGAAAGGUGCGGGCUCAACCCGCGGACGGCACAUGAUACUGCGAGACUAGAGUAAUGGAGGGGGAACCGGAAUUCGCGGUGUAGCAGUGAAAUGCGUAGAUAUCGAGAGGAACACUCGUGGCGAAGGCGGGUUCCUGGACAUUAACUGACGCUGAGGCACGAAGGCCAGGGGAGCGAAAGGGAUUAGAUACCCUAGUAGUC